rnacentral:lncRNA from 1 species
UGUCUCGCAUCUUCUCAACCUUUUCAGGAGUGGUAAGUCUACUACCUCUGAUAGUUCUAACCGAUUUUCCCCUUGAUGAGGAUUUGGUGAGGCUUGCAGGUUUAGUAUUCAAUCCCAAAAAACCUUGCCCCAAUUCUUUGCUUUUCAAUUGCUCCUCCUCACUUCCGCUUCUGCUUCCUCUUCCGCUUCCACUUCUGCUUCCGCUUCUGCUUCCACUCAAAUCCUUCAAGUAAUUUUCUGAGGAUUUACUGAGGCUUGCAGGUUUCGUAUUCAAUCCCAAAAAACCUUGCCCCAGAUCUUUGCUUUUCAAUUGCUCCUCCUCACUUCCGCUUCUGCUUCUGCUUCCGCUCAAAUCCUUCAAGUAAUUUUCUGAGGAUUUACUGAGGCUUGCAGGUUUCGUAUUCAAUCCCAAAAAUCCUUGCCCCAGAUCUUUGCUGUUCAAUUGCUCCUCCUCACUUCCGCUUCCGCUUCUGCUUCCACUCAAAUCCUUCAAGUAAUUUUCUGAGGAUUUACCGAGGCUUGCAGGUUUCGUAUUCAAUCCCAAAAAUCCAUGCCCCAAUUCUUUGCUUUUCAAUUGCUCCUCCUCACUUCCGCUUCCGCUUCCGCUUCC